GGUCAGCCUCAGGGAGCCCAACCCUAACCUGAACAACCAGAACACUCCCUGUCAUCAGACCCGGAACAUGAAGGCAAUGGGACACCGGCGGGGGCGGGCUGGGCUUUGACCGGACGUGAUUGGUUCUGACGUCAGGCCCCGCCCACGCCACGCCCCUGGGCGUUUUACUCGCCCCACCCACCACUCGGAGAAAUCUGCCGGUGGGGACGGGGAGGAGUCGCGGGGUUCUGAGCCCUAGAACUGGGGUGCAGGAAGAGCUGUGCACGGGACCGUGGCUAACCAUGCGCGCUGCUUCCACCGCCGGACCCUGGUCCGUAAGACUAAGAAAAACCACAGGAAGUGUCCACACAGGUUGAUGCUGAGCAAGGGCAGAAGAGGAUCUUGGGGCUUUACUCGUGAGGUGGAUUAUGUUAUCUUCAUUUUCAAAAACAAGAGAAUGAAGAAAGAAAAGAGGAAUGCAACCAAGAAAAAAAAGAAGGCAAAGAAAAAAAAGAAAAGACUGAAGCCUGUAACCUUUUAUUAGCCUGUAUUUUGAGACCAUUGUCAGGCAUAAGGUAGUCCCUCCUAAAAGGAUGCAGCUUGAGACCUUGUCCCGGUACCAAGAUUAUGUUUAAGGAAAGGCCUUUGGUGAGGAGAGAGAGAAAAGAAGAUAUCACCUGCUCCCAGCACUCCAAGAGAGCCCAACUGCCACUCCCAGAGACUAACUGCCACCUCCUUCAGAGCAACAGCCACACCCAGAGAGUAACUGACACAGAAAAACCAUUACACUGUCUCAGAUCUGUUUCAAACCAGCUUCUCUCCUUCUUGUCUCUAAACUAAUAUGACAAGACUUAAUUUCUAAUGUCAUCCUUAUACUCCAAGUUAAAUUCUGAAAUAAAUGAGUCCAGAAGUUCA
rnacentral:lncRNA from 1 species